GAUGAAGAACGUAGUGAAAUGCGAUAAGUAAUGUGAAUUGCAGAAUUCAGUGAAUCAUCGAAUCUUUGAACGCACAUUGCGCCCAUUAGUAUUCUAGUGGGCAUGUCUGUUCGAGCGUCAUUAAGUCCACUUAAGCCCUGCUUAGUGUUGGGAGACUGCUCCAGCGGUGCUACCCUGUAGCUACCCUGCAGCUCCUCAAAGACAGCGGCGGAGUUGUGGUAUCCUCUGAGCUUAGUAACUUGUUCUAGCUUUCGAGUACACCACUUCCCCUGCCGUAAAACCCUUAAUUUUUAAUGGUUGACCUCGGAUCAGGUAGGAAUACCCGCUGAACUUAAGCAUAUCAAUAAGCGGAGGA
rnacentral:misc_RNA from 1 species